UUUAUUUCCCUUGGGGCAAAGGAGAGACAUUCAGAUUCCAAUUUCAGAGAUUCAAAGGGACCGCCAUUUGCUGUGUGGCACCUGUACUCUCUCUACCAGUAAUUUCCCUCCUUUACCUAUUGAACAAACUCCCUUUCUCUCUCUCUUUCUCUCUGAAGAUAUUUUUUUGAAGAUGUGAUCGGGUAAAGGGAGGUCACAGGUGUCUCUAUUCUCUAUGUGGAUGAAAUGACCUUACAAGAUGAGUAAGUAUUGAAUAUCGCAAUGCAUUCACCAUUGGCCAGACACAUACCAGAGCUUUUCAGCAGGAAAUAGACCCAUCUGAUGUCUUCAACUUCAAUUCUUUAUUUGUGUACUUUGAAGGUUCUUUAGAAGGUAGAUUGAUGACUAUCUAUGUAGAUUAACACUGGAUGGACAGUAAUUAAUGAUGAACUGACCACAUUCACAGGAGGCCAAGAAUCCGUUCUGGAAGCACUCGGAUUGUCCGAAAAACGACUGAGGGCGAAAAAAAAUCAGAAGAAACUGAAGUACAAGGAGGAGAAAGACAGUGAAGGAGUCAUCAAAACAGCGAGAGGAAUAGAGCUAGAGAGUAGUGCUGCUGUUCUCCGACACCUAGACAAAACAGUGGUGAGGAUUUCACUAAACCACAGUGACGUACGUAGUCUAAGGAUGGAGAUGAUCGGUUUGACCACAGUUCUAUCAAGCUUAUUUAUGUAUAUCUUUCUUUAGAUCCACUCUGUCUAACUAUUCUUUUUCUAGCUGCUCUUGCUCACAAAAUGGCUUCCAAGGAACGCAGAGGAUGAGUCGGAGCCUAACUCACGAGGGAGUGUCUGCCUGUCUGUCGUCCUGUGAAUGUGCUAUCCUUAAUCUGUGGGCAUUGUUUCGCUGUUGACUCGUCCACCUAAGAGCAUAUUGCAUGCCACAUAUACAAGUGGUUACAGUCUGAUUCAGACAUGGUCUUUCAUGUGAGAGCCUGAGAGAGACAGUCUCUGCUGACUGCAGGGUAACAUGACAGGACUCAUGUUUUACUGUGUGUGUGCGCGUGAUUAUGUGCGCACACUGUAUGUGUGCAGUGUUUUGUAUUUCUCUAA
rnacentral:lncRNA from 13 species